UACGGAGGGUGCGAGCGUUGUUCGGAAUUACUGGGCGUAAAGGGCGCGUAGGCGGCUUACCAAGUCAGGCGUGAAAUUCCCGGGCUCAACCUGGGGGCUGCGCUUGAUACUGGUGAGCUUGAAUGCGGGAGAGGAUAGUGGAAUUCCCAGUGUAGAGGUGAAAUUCGUAGAUAUUGGGAAGAACACCGGUGGCGAAGGCGGCUAUCUGGCCCGUAAUUGACGCUGAGGCGCGAAAGCGUGGGGAGCAAACAGG
rnacentral:rRNA from 1 species